UACGAAGGGUGCAAACGUUGCUCGGAAUCAUUGGGCGUAAAGCGCACGUAGGCGGCCUUGUAAGUCGGAUGUGAAAUCCCACGGCUUAACCGUGGAAGUGCAUCCGAAAUUGCGAGGCUCGAGUAUGGAAGAGGGUCGCAGAAUUCCCGGUGUAGAGGUGAAAUUCGUAGAUAUCGGGAGGAACACCAGUGGCGAAGGCGGUUGCCUGGAGCUUUGCUGACGCUGAUGCGCGAAAGCGUGGGGAGCGAUCCGG
rnacentral:rRNA from 1 species